rnacentral:rRNA from 1 species
UCCAGACUCCUACGGGAGGCAGCAGUGGGGAAUAUUGGACAAUGGGGGGAACCCUGAUCCAGCGACGCCGCGUGAGUGAAGAAGUAUUUCGGUAUGUAAAGCUCUAUCAGCAGGAACGAGACAAGACGGUACCUGACUAAGAAGCCCCGGCUAACUACGUGCCAGCAGCCGCGGUAAUACGUAGGGGGCAAGCGUUAUCCGGAAUCACUGGGUGUAAAGGGAGCGUAGACGGCUGAGCAAGCCUGAAGUGAAAGGCAGGGGCCCAACCCCUGGACUGCUUUGGGAACUGUACGGCUGGAGUGCAGGAGAGGUAAGUGGAAUUCCUAGUGUAGCGGUGAAAUGCGUAGAUAUUAGGAGGAACACCAGUGGCGAAGGCGGCUUACUGGACUGUAACUGACGUUGAGGCUCGAAAGCGUGGGGAGCAAACAGGAUUAGAUACCCUGGUAAC